CUUUCAUCUUGGCAUUUCUGAUAAGAACAGGUGUAGCAUUUGAACUUAUUUGUUUAAUAUAAGAUCUGUUCUCUAUACGAGGAUAAUAUAUCAAUCGGAGUUUUUGAUCUAGGAAAUUGAUAGGAGGUCACUAUGUCCACUCGGGUCAUUGACCCGGUUUUGCAGUUAUUCCAAGAGUUGUGCAACCCUG
ensembl:snRNA U2 U2 spliceosomal RNA